rnacentral:lncRNA from 1 species
UUAAAUAUAUCACUUUAAAUAUGAAAAUUGAUACAUGCACACAUAUGUAAUGAAAUUAAACUUGACUAAUGCAACAGCAGAGUGAAAGUCUCAUGAAUAUGGGAAGAAAUGUUACAAAUGUUCUGCAUCCUUUUGACACUACCAAUCCAAAGUGAUUAUUUCUAUGGGCAAUUUUUUAACGAGCUUUAGUUAAAUUAUGUUCUUGAUGAAUAACAGUGGCUCUGAAAUGUGGCGUAGGUGCACCACUACCGACUAACUCCAACACCAUGCUGACAGCCCGCCUUGCCGAUACCUACCCGCCCACACUUGGUCCUCUUGCCCAGGACACUGCAUAGCAGGCAACACAUAAACUUGAUCAUACAAACCUUAAUCAAUUUUCUGCUUGCAAAAUAAAAGAGCAUAUUCCUAAACCACAAAGAUGGGACAACGACCAUCUCUGUCAGAGGAGGUAGUGUAUGAUUAAAAAAUGGUAGUUUGUUGUAUUAAAAAAUUGUAGAAAUUGGGGUGGAAAUCCGUGGAUCUACCAUGUAAGGAAUAUACUGAACAUAAUUUGGUCUCACUAUUUGUAGAGCUUAGAGAACAACAAAGUAAUGCAGAAAACAAAACAUGGGACUGUACAUAUUCUAACACACCACUGCACCAUAUAGAUACAAGAUAGAUCAAUUAGAAGGGGCAACUUGUGCUCUGUUUAUGAGAGAAAUAAAUCAAAUAAUAUUGCAAGAGAUUGAAAAAUGAUGGCAAGAACAAAUCAAAUAAUAUUGCAAGAUACAACACAUUAUGAAAGAUCAUACCUCGACAAAGCAAACCAGGGACUGUAGAUCCACGGAUGGCCACCGCAAUUUCUACAAUUAUGCAAAAUAAAAUACAAGGUAAGAAAAUCACUGAAUUAUAACUGGAAACUGAAUUUUGCUCUGAACCAUAGCAUGCACUUGACAAAGUUAAAUACCCAGAAGGAAAAUAUCAUAUGCGGUAAAGAUCAUGGAGAGAUCGAAUUGAUUGGAGUCUCUACUAAACACUUAUCGGCUUCAUCAUAUGGCCAUUAUGCUUGCUUCUGACAAUUAUGCUUCUAACUAAAGUACAAAAGUAUCCAAUGAGAUCGGAAACGCGCCUUGGCGCGAGGGUGCCGGUUACAACGUUGUGACCAAGUACAUAAUGCACAAUUUGAUAGCUCAGUUGAUAAGAAAUCACAUAGGACUAAAAAAGUCACUACCUUUAACUAUGUAAUCACCUGGAAAAAAUUGCAUAAUUGUUAUGAUAAUCCUGCUGGUACAAACUAUGAUAGUUAGGAUAAUAACCUUGGUGCUUUCAUAUGAAAAAAAACACCAACAAUCAUGAGGCCCUUAAGGAAUCCGUAAGGUACACAGUUCACAUACAUAUUCUAGAUGCACCAAUUGAUGAGCAUACAAAACGAUUUGAAAUUUCCUCGCAAACAUAUAGAACGUGGAAGCAAACUGCAGAUAGAAGAGAAAUAAGGCAACAUGCAAAACAGAAACUGGCCUCACCAUGAUACCUGUUACUUUUGCGAUCAAGCGUUCGUGGCCCAAAAUUUCAAAAUGAAGCCUGAAGAUUCAGAUCAAUAAAAAGUACACUGUCACUGCUUGCACAGGCUAGCACCUCUGGAAUGAGAGAAAUAGAAGUCUUCCAACAGAAAACUAAGGUUGCGCCCUUGCUUUUUCACUUGAUUGGAGAUGAUAUUAGCCUCACUGCUGAUGAGUACGUGAAGUAACCCCUCUUUGUUGUACAGCCGAGAGAGCUCCAGACUUUCUUUUUCCUUUUUUUACCUUUAACUGUACUCACUCCGUGGAACAGCAGGGAUUCUGUUCUUCGCUUCAAAAAUGAAAAUUGUGUCUUCCAGUUAGAAGUCUCCAGAUUUGUUACGGUGUAAAGUUAUGUAGCAGAAAUCUUAACUCAUCUAUUAUUUAUGCUGACAGUAAAAUCAGUAUAGUUACAUAAUACUGAAGUGCAUCCUUAGAACAAAAAUAACAGGGAGGUCUGAAUGCCUAUAAAAAUGGAAAAUGACACCAUUGAAUAGACAAACUAAUAUAGAUUAUUUGGAAAAGUGUAUUUAUAUGGUCAUCGAAUAAUAAUUAAUUCAGAGUAGUAAAUAGAUGUCAGAGGAUCCUAAUUCUACAGUUUGUACUCCAGAUACCAACAAUGGCUUUUUCAGCAAAGUUGUAACAUAAUAAGGUAAUGAGGUAGCAUGAGAGUACGAUUAAUUCAGAGCAAUAUGAAUGGAAUAAUCCUGAAGACAAUCAUUAGUACAGAGCACAUAUGAUGAACAUUAAUUCAGAGCUAACCUUCCAUAAUACGACCCUGUUACAUCUCAUGCAGUACCUUCUUUGCUGCAGUUAUGUGACGCUGUAGUUUCUUCUUUUCGUUCCAAUCCUGUAACGUAAAAUAUUCAGAGAAGAAAUAUUACAAUUCAGUACUAAUUUAGUGUAACGAAAGUUGCAAAAGGGGUAAAAUGCUUCCAUGGCAGAAUCUGAAACAAUCAUGUUAACUACUACCACUGUCCUAUAAUAUAAGACGUUUUACAGUUCACAAUAUUUUGAAACCCUAAAUCAAUCCAUGAUAUUGUAGAGGUUUCUAACUAUAACCACCUUAGCUCUAUAAGGUUAACAUUAUGUGUGAUGAGAAAGAGUUGCAGUUGCAAUUAACAGAAUUAAAUUAAUUUUUGUGCCAUCGUAAAACUGGAGUGAUGUAAAUCAAGUCAACAACCUAUACAACGCAAUCUAUGCAACAGAAAUAUCUUUUUUCUAAGGAUUAGUGUCAAAUUGAUUUGCGAAAAAAACUUGGAUUUACAAUCUGCAACCCUAUGUUUGUCCCAUUUAUCCGAAAACUUCAAGCCAUGUUUGUGUGUAACAGCUGGUACACUAAUGCAGUAGGAUACCGUUGGAUCAAGAAAUGAGGUCAGAUCAUAUAUUGUUUCUAUUUGUAUAAGACUACAAAUUUUUUAAAUUCACGCAGCCAGUGAUAUUUUUGAGCACCAUGGAGGAGGAAGGGGAGAAGUGAGACCGACGAGGAGAGAACCACACGCCCUCCCCAGCUCGUAGAGGAAAACACCAGGGACUCGAUAUGCCGGUACUCCUCGCCACCCCCGGGAAACUCUUCAAACUUCAGCAAGAGUACAAACAUGGCAAAUAAUUAAAAAUAAUAGAACAGCCGGUAAGAUCUUACAUAGAAAAAUUAUAUUUCAAAGAGCAACUGCUUAAACCAUUGAGUACAAAAGCCAUUCAUGCCAACCACAAAAAGGAAAUAAUGUGCAGUGCAAGGCUAAUAUGAUUUAUCUAUUACCAAUCACCGUAUCCAUUUAAAUUAUAAUCUGAACAUAUAUACUUUCCAGUCACAUGGCAUCAUCUUUUUAAUUGAACUAAACCUCCAAAGUUAUGUCAAUGAUUAAAUAUGGCAUUAGUGUAAAAUAUGGUAAUGGGGUGGUUUAUUUGGGUCAAAAUAAGGCAAACAACACAACACAGAGUAUCCAAUUAAGCAUAGCAAUUAACAAUGAGGGAUACUAAUGAGGGAACUCUGAAAAUGGAUAGAUCACCUCACAUAAUGAUUAUCUCAGCAUACCUAGGCUAGGCAAGUGAAACCGACAAUAAGGGUAAAUAGAGCGGCCGUUCCCUUGGCAGUGGCCGCUCCAUGUCCUCCUCCCCCUGCAUAUCCUGCCAUGGAACAACCGACAGAGCGACCCCAGAUCAGAAGCCCGCGCGCGACGAAACGAACUUGCGAGACGGGGUAACGUGGGCCCACCAUGUUACCUGGGUGAAGAGGAGGGAGCCAAAGAAGCCCGCGAGGAAGAAGAUGCAACAUGAGAGGAGCACCACAGGGAGCCACAGCCGCGUCGGCAUGAACCAACCGCAGUCGGUCCUGAUGGCUGGCUAGCACAAGGGAGGGCCGGCAUGAUCCCGCAACAACAACAUGAAUUUGCAGCAAUCCAUCCAUGCUCUUAUCAUGUUGUAUGCAAAACACACACAAAAUCCGAUCAUGUUAAUAGAGCAACCAGAACCUUCUAUGUCAUAUGGAGAUUAAAAGGAAUAAGAAUUAAGGAUAUAUCAAACGAGUAGUUCAACUCUACACACAUGAUCAAGAAAAUGGUAGUGUGGGUAGCAUAUAUAUGCAGCAAUCCAUCUCCAUGCUCUUAUCAUGUUUUCUGCAAUCCAGAGUGACACCUACCAUCAGCAACAUAACCUGCAUAAAAGCACACCUAUGAUUAGUAAUACUGGACUAAAUCUCGCUAUAAAUUAGAGCACGUUGAUACUCUUUAUGGGAAUAAAUUAGAACAAAAACUGAAAACAAAUUAUGGAUACAUACUAUCGGAUCUAGCGUGAGCAUUUGAAAAUAUGUGCCAAAAACAUACAAGGUUGUGUUCUGUGAGAAAAGGAGAAGUGUCUGACACACAAAUAGAUGCUUACAGACAAACAUUUUCAGGUUCUCAACUUCUCAAGUAAUCAAUUUUCAACCACAAAUGUUAUUCUUUAAAAGGCGUGAGUUCAAAUGUGUAAACUGAACCAAGGCAUAUUACUUUUUCUAUGGUACAAAUAACCCCUUAUGCACUCUUGGCCUUCUUCUGGCCAUAUAAAUUCUCAAGCUCUUUCAGAUUUCUCAAACCCUGCCUUUCUCCGACAACAUGUCCAUUAUCCAACUGAUUCAAGCGAUUAAGUCUGAACAUGGCAACUGAGAGCCAUUGUCUUCCUCAACAGAAAGGAAGCAAGUUACAUUCAAGCAAACUAAGCACAAGCUUGACCUAUUAAAAUACAAGAUAUAAAUGAAAGAAUAAGGUAGGAAGAGAGCUGCCAGAAAUGCUUAAAACCCACUAAACACCAACGCUGACUAUUGGAUAUUUUGCCAAACGCACCAUCUAUUCUUCUCUUAAUUCAUCGAUGAUGGCGCAACAGGUGUAUUGCUCAAUCUAUCUAUCCAACUAAUGUAUAGCCUUCGACCAUCUAUGUCGAUGCAUCUCACCUCUAACUGAACUGUUACCACACGAAACAUAAAUACACUGCAUAUGUACCAAGAAAAGUAAUCCUUGAUUUCUCUUUGCAUAGCAAUAAUGAAAUUAAACAAAGGAGAACAUAAUGCUUACAUAGACAUGAAAAGCAACAGAAUUAGAUAUUUUGUGAGAAGCAUAGCACGCACAUGAUAAAAUAAAAGCCCAGGAAAAGAAACAAAUUGUGAGAGGAAUGGAAUAUGGAGAGAAACAACCUUGGAAUCAGAGUGAGAGGGGGAUCACAUGUACGUGCUGCUUCCAAGGAUUGCCUCAUUCUUCAGGCCAUUGCAGAUCUGAAAAUAAAAGGCAACCGAGGUUGACAUNNN